rnacentral:lncRNA from 1 species
GGAAGACAAUGUCUGUGGCUCCUGCAGUAAUGUUUUCUGGCUGUAGGUUUGCAGAGGAUGCAGAUGUGUGUGUGCUUGGGAAAGGCAAACCAUCCUGCUGGCAAUGAAAAGGGGUAGACCAGCCCAUAAGACAAAAGCUGGGAAGUAUGGAUCACUACGAGGGUGCUCGUGAACAUCUAGGUUUGGUAUGACACAUCAGUCACAAUGGAGGCAGUCCAGGCAAACAGCUUUAGGAGAGCAUGUGCUGUGCUUCAAGAUUCCCCUCAGCUGACCAUAUGCAUUUUCCUAGAAGAGGAAACCACGAUCAGUAAAGCUUGCAGGGCUGUGGAGAACCUUCCUUACUCAGGCAGUGUCCUGUGCCAUGUGUCUGGGAGCCAGAGGGUCUCUUCUGGAGCCUUCACCACCACAUCACACCUCUGGCCCUGCAAGAUUGGCAUCUUCUCCCAGAUUAUGACUGUUGGAGUCAGAGAAGAGCUACAUCCACGUUCAACUGUUAAACACAGUAUAAAUAAAUGGAAGAAAAGCCCCUACCCAGCAAGGCCAGAGCCCUACAGAUAACCUCUGCUUCCUCUUUAAGCUUACCUGCUACCGUCCAUUAGUGAUGGUUACCAGCAAGCUGCAUCCACAUCACUGAAUCUGACAAAGUUACCCUCAACCCAGCGGGAUUAUGAUGAUUUGCCUCUAAUUUUUGGACUUCAGCAAACACACAAAUGCAUUUAUGAAGUACCAGCUAUCGUUUCAGCUGACUCUUCAUUAAAAUGUAUUUAGAUGUCCUUCAAAAAAAAAAAAAAAAUAAAAAAAUCAUCUUGCAUUGAAACUCA